AAAUUGAAGAGUUUGAUCAUGGCUCAGAUUGAACGCUGGCGGCAGGCCUAACACAUGCAAGUCGAGCGGUAGCACAGAGAGCUUGCUCUCGGGUGACGAGCGGCGGACGGGUGAGUAAUGUCUGGGAAACUGCCUGAUGGAGGGGGAUAACUACUGGAAACGGUAGCUAAUACCGCAUAAUGUCGCAAGACCAAAGUGGGGGACCUUCGGGCCUCAUGCCAUCAGAUGUGCCCAGGUGGGAUUAGCUAGUAGGUGGGGUAACGGCUCACCUAGGCGACGAUCCCUAGCUGGUCUGAGAGGAUGACCAGCCACACUGGAACUGAGACACGGUCCAGACUCCUACGGGAGGCAGCAGUGGGGAAUAUUGCACAAUGGGCGCAAGCCUGAUGCAGCCAUGCCGCGUGUGUGAAGAAGGCCUUCGGGUUGUAAAGCACUUUCAGCGGGGAGGAAGGCGGUGAGAUUAAUAACCUC
rnacentral:rRNA from 1 species